rnacentral:rRNA from 1 species
GAGUUUGAUCAUGGCUCAGAUUGAACGCUGGCGGUAUGCUUAACACAUGCAAGUCGAACGGUAACAGGCCUUCGGGCGCUGACGAGUGGCGGACGGGUGAGUAACGCGUAGGAAUCUGCCUCAUAGUGGGGGACAACGUGGGGAAACUCACGCUAAUACCGCAUACGCCCUACGGGGGAAAGCGGGGGAUCUUCGGACCUCGCGCUAUGAGAUGAGCCUGCGUUAGAUUAGCUAGUUGGUAGGGUAAAGGCCUACCAAGGCGACGAUCUAUAGCUGGUCUGAGAGGACGAUCAGCCACACUGGGACUGAGACACGGCCCAGACUCCUACGGGAGGCAGCAGUGGGGAAUAUUGGACAAUGGGCGCAAGCCUGAUCCAGCAAUACCGCGUGUGUGAAGAAGGCCUUAGGGUUGUAAAGCACUUUCAAUUGGGAGGAAAACCUGCCGGUCAAUACCCGGUAGCUUGACAUUACCUUUAGAAGAAGCACCGGCUAACUCCGUG